GCCAAUUACGUGCCAGGAGGUGCGGAGUGACGUGGGGGUCAAGCGUUGGCCGGAAUUAUGUGGCGUAAAGAGCUCGGAGGGGGUCUGUCGCGUCGGCUGUGAAAACUCGGGGCUCAACCCCGAGCCUGCAGUCGAUACGGGCAGACUUGAGUGCGGUAGGGGAGACUGGAAUUCCUGGUGUAGCGGUGAAAUGCGCAGAUAUCAGGAGGAACACCGGCGGCGAAGGCGGGUCUCUGGGCCGUAACUGACACUGAGGAGCGAAAGCGUGGGGAGCGAACAGGAUUAGAUACCCGAGUAUUC
rnacentral:rRNA from 1 species